rnacentral:tRNA from 1 species
AAGAUUUUAAGUUAUUUUAAACUAUAUACCUUCAAAGUAUAAAAAAUUUAUUAAAUAAAUCUUA